rnacentral:rRNA from 1 species
UACGUAGGGUGCGAGCGUUAAUCGGAAUUACUGGGCGUAAAGCGUGCGCAGGCUGUUCUGUAAGUCAGAUGUGAAAUCCCCGAGCUCAACUUGGGAACUGCGUUUGAAACUACAGGACUAGAAUAUGUCAGAGGGGGGUAGAAUUCCACGUGUAGCAGUGAAAUGCGUAGAGAUGUGGAGGAAUACCAAUGGCGAAGGCAGCCCCCUGGGAUAAUAUUGACGCUCAUGCACGAAAGCGUGGGGGAGCAAACAGG